UUUUAGGUAGUAUACUUAGUACAUAAAGUUUUGAUCUUUAUAGAGUUGCUAAAAGCAGCCUUAAAAU
rnacentral:tRNA from 1 species